rnacentral:rRNA from 1 species
CCCUUAGAUGUUCUGGGCCGCACGCGCGCUACACUGUUCGACGCAGCGAGUCUUAACCUUGACCGAAAGGUUUGGGUAAUCUUCAGCAAAGUCGAACGUGAUGGGGAUCGAUCAUUGCAAUUAUUGAUCGUGAACGAGGAAUUCCUAGUAAGUGCAAGUCAUCAGCUUGCGCUGAUUACGUCCCUGCCCUUUGUACACACCGCCCGGCGCUACUACCGAUUGAAUGGUUUAGUGAGAUCUCUGGAUUGACGCUGGCUAGGGGGCGACCCUUGGCCAGACUGUUGAGAAACUGCUCAAACUUGAUCAUUUAGAGGAAGUAAAAGUCGUAACA